rnacentral:lncRNA from 1 species
GAAUAUCAACUGGUCUCACGCAGCUCCUUAUUCCAGGAUGAGGUGCUGCUGUGAGUCAGGGAACGGUUCCAGCCCAGGCCAUCACAGAAGGAGCUGCUCCACUCCCACAGAGGGCAGGCACCAAGAAGCUGAUUGCAUAUGGAAUCCACCAAAUCGUUACCCGUCCUCACGGAAAGCAAAACGCAAAUCACAAACGCAAUCAGUCCGCACCUGGAAGGCUCCCCACUGUACAGCCUUCAUCACAACAGGUCAGGCGACCGCUUCACGGAUGUACUACGGCCUCCCACCGCUCCUUGAUGCUGAAUUCGCUCUUAGUCGUACAGAAGAUUAAAGGAUGAUGAAAAGCCAUUCAAGUUUUUCAGCCUCUUCGGGACAUCUCGUCACCAGGUAUGAGAACGCCGCGUUUAACCGGAACCGGACAGCGGACGCUCCCGGUGCCCGCGGGAUGCCCAGGCCGGCUCCUCACCGCCCGGCAGCGGCGGGCCCCCAGCUCGGUAGGCGGGCCGGCACCCCCGCUCCCCGCGGCCUCCCGGAGCCGCUCGCAGGCCCCGCUCAGCCGCCGGCUCGGCACCGCGCCUGGAAUUACAACACCGCGGGCGCAGACGCAGGGGGAGGGCGAAGGCGGCCAGACAGAGCGGCGUGCGCCGGGCCUGCCCGGCCCCGCAGGCGGCCCCGUGCCCACGCAGGAAGCCGGCGGCCCCGGGAGCCCCCGCGCUUCGCCCGCCGACGGCCUCCGAGCAUCGGCCCGACCCGCGGCGGGCGCUCGGCGGGGGGAGCGGCCGGGCCGGAGAGCCUCGGGCGGGCGGCCCGAGCCCGCGCCCGACGGGGAGAGCGGGCCGGGGGCGGGACGUGGGCCCGGUGCUCGGAGCCCCGCGGGCUGAGAGGGGGGUGGAACGCAGGACGACCGUGGCGCGGCGCAGCCCCGAACGCGCGGCGCUCCUCACCGCCCGGCUCGGCUCGGCCCGACCCCGCACUCACCGCUCCUGGGGGCUCCUCAUCCUCUGCGGCGGGAGAGAAGGCGAAGCAGGAGAAAGCCGCUCCCGCUGCGCUACACAGGCCGCGCCCGGGACCCCGACGGCUCCUGGGAGACGGGAGCGAGGGCGGCCGAGCGCCGGGAGGGGGAGGGCGGGGCGGGGCGGCUCGGCGCAGGCUCUCUCCCCGGCAGGCGCUCCCGACGCCCGGCGCGUCCCUGCGGAGCGGGCGGGCGGGGCGGGCCGGAGCCGGAUUCCAAUCACGGCACCCGUCGAGCCCGGUCGCGCGCACGGCGGAGGGCGGGGGAGAGCGGGGACGCGCGCGCAGCAGAGGCAGCGCCAACGGCCGCCGUUGAGAGGCGUGAGGCCGCCCCUCGGAGCCCUCCCGCUUUCCCCGGCCUUCCAUCCACACGUGCGCCGGGCGGGGCACACCGGGAAAAAGUUGGCCGCUUUCCCUCCCCCGUAGCUCGUCUCCCGAGCGGUAGCGCAGGCCGCAGCUAGCCGCCGCCUGAGGCUCCGCGCACCGCUGGCCGAAGGGCCGUCGAGCAGAGCUUUCCCGGUGAAAUAGGCGCGGCCGCUCCUGUAGGAGGCGCCAGAGAGGCACGAGGGCGCGGCGGCGUGCUGGGGAGGCGGGGUGAUGGCAGCUGCUUUGUGUGAUGGGAGUUGGGGCAGGCGGGUGGCGGUGGCUGCUGCCCGUGGAAAAAGGAGGGCCUUACACCGGUCCUUUAGCUCUGUGGAAGAAUAGUUCUCACAGGCUUGACGUCCCAGUGCCUUAUGAGAGUGCCAUUACAAUGAACAGAACUGCUUUUUUUUUUUUUUCCAUUUCCUGUUUCUCUAAAUAAACAAAGCUAGUUAGAUUGGAAUACAUUAUAACUUCUGCAGCGAGCUUCUCUGCUCGCUGAUAAGGUUGCUAAAGGCUAUGAUUUGCAUGGCAUUUCCGAGCUCCUCGUCAUUAGGACACGUUACCAACGUAACAAUUUGUCUGUCUGUCUCCCAGCAGCAGCGCAGAAGGUGCCUUAGGAACGCUGUGCCAUGGGGUGAGCAGCCUGCGUGGGCCGAACCUGUCACUCAACAGGGUGGCAGCGACUAAGGAUGUGGUCCCAUUACAUGGUUCUGCGCCAAGAACUUUGUGCACAGGGCCAACCAUAGAGGGAAAGUAAGACCAUAUGAGAAACUAGGACCACGCUAACCUGCUCGCUUUCCCUUUGCUAUUGACCAAGACACCCUUCAGGCCAUUUGCCUGCCCAGAUAAGCUGUUUUUAGAACGUAACCAAUUGGGAAGCAAUCUCGCUUAGCCACAUGCGUGUAUGAUGUGGGAAACCCUGCUUUGCUCAUUGUGCUGACCUCUACACGGUCCAGCUCCGUUUUUGUCUGCUAGUGUCAUAUAGAGUUUAUGUUGUCCCAUUUGUGUAAGAUGAGCGCAUUGGCUCUGUAAUAUAGUUCACAUGUGUUGUACAUGUGGAUUGUUAGGUAACUGCUUAGCUUGCAUUCUAUCCCAUAUAGUAAAACAAAGGAGGAAGUCCAUUCAAACCUAUCUGCUUUGCAGACUCCUUUAAAACACAGGCAAUUAAAGGCACACCUAGUAAGUGUAGGUGGCCAGAUACUACAGAGAAAGGCAUUAAAAAAUGCAGGACUUGCAUUACUAGACUUGUAGAAAAUUUUUUCCGAUGAGCCAGAAAAAAAUGUCAGUGUCCAAGACAAAGACAGCCAAGAAAGACAAAAUCACAGUGCUCAUGCCAAGCAAUACAGAACUUGUGUGCUUAUGUUUAUAAUUUCAAAGGAAAAUAUGAGUCUGCUGUUCCUCCACUCGGUCUACUAUCAGAUUAUAGCAACAGAAUAGACACUCAAUAUGGAAGAAGAAUGCAACAUGCAUGUGUGUGCUCCCAAGCAGAACCAAAGCUGCUAGAGCUAGCAUCUCUUUCAGUAAUAAUCUGUGUGGCAAUACAGUCCUGCAUUUUUCAGAUGUUGGAUAGUGAUUUAAAUCCAUUAUGCCUGAAUUCAGCAAAAGCCACUAGCCUUGAAAUUUGGUUUUGAGCCCGCUUAUGAAAUAGACCAGCUAUUUUCAUCGAAUUUCUCAUAAGUAAUUUUGCAAAUCGCAGAAACUGCUCUGUAAACUGAUACUGUUAAAAGCGCUCAGGCACUGAGGGUAUCUCAGGCGACAGUCCCUGUCACAUCAGGAAUUGUGCUGCUGAGGAUUUGGUUUGCUCUACCCUGCCAGUAUGCCUAUUCAUGGCAUAAAUAAGGAGCAUCAGGCUGUGUAAAUACUAGUCUUAAUCACAAAAUAAAUUCAGUAAAAAUAAACUACAUUUUAAUAAUAUUAGGCCUGCAGAAGACAGCUUAAUCUUAAUCUGAAAUGAUGAAUCAUAACAACCUUGAAGGGUAUUUGCAUCACAGUAUUGUGCUGGUUGUCUGAUGAAACAUCACUUGGAAAGUACUGUAUUUUUCAAAACAUACAGUAUGAUAGAAUCAUGGAAUUGCUCAGGUUGGAAAAGACCUUAAAGAUCAUCACAUCCAACCACAACCUAACCAUCCUACCCUAACUCUAACAACCCAUAGCUAAAUCAUGUCCCUGAGCACCACAUCCAAACGGUUUUUAAAGACGUCCAGGGAUGGUGACUCAAACACCUCCCUGGGGAGCUCAUUCCUUAAUUCGCUUAACAACCCUUUCUGUAAAGAAGUGUUUCCUGAUAUCCAACCUAAAAUUACCCUGGCACGACUUGAAGCCAUUUUCCCUCAUCCUGUCACCUGUCACCAGUCAGAAGAGACCAACCCUGCUCUCGCUGUAAGCACCUUUCAGAUAUCAGAAGAGAGCAAUAAGGUCUCCCCUCAGCCUCCUUUUCCCCAGACUAAACAGCCCCAGUUCCUUCAGUCUCUCCUUGUAGGGCAUAUUCUCCAAGUAUCUACCAUAUGGUUUCAAUUUCAUAAGAUAUAAACUUUUUUGAAACAUAUGGAUUAACAACAAAAGUAUGAAAACUAUAUGAUUAGACUAAAAUUCCUUGUUUACAUUCAUAUAGCAGUCUGUAUGUGAGAAGGAGUUUGUUGACCAAUGCUAAUGUGUUAGGUGAUGCAGUAGGGUGAUGGAAGCAUUUUCUUUAUGUGCUGCCUAAAGAACUUGGUUGUAUUUCCCUUAAUGAAAGUAACUGUGGAAGUUUAACUUCAGAAAGAAUCAAACCCGUUUUGUUUUGACCUGCCUUGUUUACCUUGCAGGAAAGGUAGCGAUACCUGUUUAAAUCAAAGAUGAACACUUUAGGUGAUAGGCACUUAGAAAGAGGCAGUGUUCCCCUGAGCUGGUUAUCAGUAACAGACAUCUCACCUGGUCAGGAUUUAGCAAUCUGCAAAAGCUUGGACACGUCAGGUUUUAGUAACAUGAGGUAUUUAUCCUGGUAGUAGAGCAGCACUCAGAGACACUGUAGUCUGAAUUUGAAAAUAAACUUUGGUUAAUUCUCCACUUGUCCAGGAUGGGGUGUGGAAGCCUAUCAUGAAAUACGGAAAGAGCAGUUCAAGACUGUCAUGAUGAAGAGAGCUGUAUUAAAGAAAUAUUAGAUCAUGAAUUGGGUAGUCUUGCAGCUGCUUUCUUCUGUCAUUCCCUGCCCAGGAAUUUCUUACUAGUUCUUGGAAUCACUGGGGAACUGCGAAUCCUAAACUUAUGUUUAAGAGAGGUGUGCAUAGGUAGAAGGUCAUCCAUCUGAUAGGACUUAAUCUUUGUAGAUCCUUCUUCCCUUCGGGCUCUGAAAUUCAUGUGUGUAAAAUCUGUGAUCCAAAUAUGUUUUUGAAAACUGUUUGCAAUUAGAUGAGUGCUUCGCUGUUACUGAUACCAAAAUGAAUAUUCCACGCCACAUAUUAAAUGGAUAUUACCCUUUAGAUGGGGACACAUUCCUUUCACUUUAUUUACAUUAAUUCUUGUCUUUUUUUUUUCAGAAUUAUUUUACUUGAAAACACAUUCUUUUGAUUAUAAAGCCAUUGGAACUGUCUGCUAGUUAGAAAUGAUACGGAUCUUAUUAAGUGUUUUAAAUGGAGUCUUGGUUAAUUCAAUAGGGUAGAAUCAAAUCUGUGAGGGAAGGGUUUUUUUUACUUCUUUUUUUUUUUUUUUUU